rnacentral:lncRNA from 1 species
UACCUGUCGGCGCUGAGGGCAGUGAGAGUGAACACGGAAACCCCCACGGAAGUGAGCUGGAUGACAGGGAUCAGUUUGCAGCCCACCUUGCCAAACAUCCACUCGUCGAAGAAGUAGCGCGAGGCGUCCACCGGGACGCAGGCCAGGUUAGAGAUGAAGAUGUUGGGGACGCUCCUCAUGGCGCUGUUGGUGAUGAAGAUCUUCACCAGCAUGAUGUUGCCCAGCAAGCCCACGGUGAUGAUGAGCAGGUUUGCUCUUGUUUGUGAAGUUCCUGUUGUAUUGUGUGGAACUGGAGGGGAGGUCAGUCCUCCAUGCAUGUGUGUGUGCCC